UGUCAAGCACCCGGCCCGUAUAACCUUUUGCUUUAUUGUUUGUCUCUCAUUGUCUUUUAUUAAACCAUUUAAAAUUUACCAGGAAAGUGAACCUCGUUUUUCACAAAAUUGAGGAACUCUGCAGCUGGCCACAGACUUCUACCAGUGAGCUCCAACGUGCUGAAAGGAGGGAACCUGGUGUCUGAGCAUCCCAGUGAUUCUUCAGGGAGAAUGAUGCUCUCCCCACAGCACUCCUCAGCAACAGGAGCAAUGCUUAGACACAAGGAAAUUAUAAAGCUGGAGACCAGACUGGAAGAUUUCUUGCCACAGUGACACUCCAACUACACACAGAAAGCUUGAGUGAGCUACUGAGAAGACAGAGGUGAUAAAAAGUACCUAGCAAGAAGUUGCUAACUUAUCUCUGCAGACAAGAUAUUUCUGUAUCACUAUCUGGUGGACUGUACAUGGGAUUCAGUGGAAGUUCUGCAUCAGAGGAUGCAGGGAGAAAAAGCAGGCCUCCCAAAUUUGGGCUAUGUAUUUUCCUCCUGCAGGAAAGGAAGACAGGAGAUUUCUGCUUUCCACCAUUCAGCUGUGUCCAACUCCCAGACUGAAAGGAGCUGUGUAACGAAAGCAAAGUUGAAGAGAGCUGGAGAACUGUGCUUGACUGUAUCCUAAGAAAAGAUCAGAGCAAGGAUCCCUGACAUGCCACCUCCUCCCAG